ACCUACAGAAGAAGCACCGGCUAACUCCGUGCCAGCAGCCGCGGUAAUACGGAGGGUGCGAGCGUUAAUCGGAAUUACUGGGCGUAAAGCGCAUGCAGGCGGCCUGUUAAGUCAGAUGUGAAAGACCCGGGGCGUUAACCUCGGAAUUGCAUUUGAAACUGGCAGGCUAGAGUCUUGUAGAGGGGGGUAGGAAGUUUCAGGUGUAGCGGUGAAAUGCGUAGAGAUCUGAAGGAAUACCAGUGGCGAAGGCGGCCCCCUCGGACAAAGACUGACGCUCAGAUGCGAAAGCGUGGGGAGCAAACAGGAUUAGAUACCCUGGUAG
rnacentral:rRNA from 1 species